rnacentral:lncRNA from 1 species
ACAGUUUGAGAUCACUUCUAUUAUAAAUAUAUAAAGAAAUAGAAAUAUGAUAGAAAUAGUAAUCAUAAAUAGAUUUAUUACCGGUUUUUUUUCUAAACGGAGCCUGGAUACUUCAUUUUUAUUGGCCUAACCAGGAUAACCAUAAAUUAUUCUAAUUGAUAAUAUUAAUAUGUAUACCCUCCCGAAAAAAUGGAUCUAAUUGAACUUCAUGCUCCAAAUUUUUGAUAAUUCAAUCAAUCUUUCUUGGGUGAAGGGGAGGAUAUCUCAAUCGGGGAAGAGAACGGGUACAUUUUUUGUGACCUUUUGACAUAAAGUUGCUCAGUAGAAGAAGAAGAAAAAUGUGAAAUCUAUGUUACAAGGAUUGUUUAAACAUUGCAUAUUGGAGUGGAUUUUUUAUGUUUAAGAUAUUGGAGACAACUAUAAUUUUGUUUGGAUAAUGAUAUGUAUGCGAGCUUACCGUUACUUUGCAAGUGGAAGGAAGCGCAGUCUAUGAGCUUGCCCACAUAGUUUCAACAUGUCAAAACUUGAUCUUAAAUACAUAUAAAACUAUGGCUCUAAUCAAAAUACAUAUUACUUGGCUUUGGUUGUUAGGAUUACGAGAAGCAUUCCAUCAAAGCAAACUCUGUGUCUUAAGCCUACAACUAGCGUAGCUAGAGUUCGUUAUUUGGUUGUUGGCAAUAAGAAUGGUUAUUUGUUAGUAUAUUAAGUUAGGGUUUGAACGACAACUAACAAUCUUACUCUAUCUCAUAAACCCUUAACAUCAUCCCAAGUUCUUUAUGAUUGGAUAACAUUAUCUAAAGUUCAACUCAAUCGUUAAAUUUAAAAUACAUAUAAUCUUCGAUAAAUUUAAAAUCCAUAUAAUCUUCGAAAUUUUAGGUGUAAUAAUAUAACAUUUUCAUUUAGAUUUUCAAUAUUUUCCCAACUUAUAAAUAGAGGACGUAUCGUAGUUAUUUAUUUACAGUUUACAAAGAGGGAGAGCAAUUGAAAGAGGGCGAAGUCUAUGCAAAUUUGCUUGAAGAAAAAAGGCUUAGCAGUUAGAGUUUUUACCUCGACCAAAUCAAAGCAACGAAUGAUAAGGUAGAAAAUCGUCUG